AUUGGACACCACCAAGAGGGCUUGGGUUGUCAGUCCUUCCUGCUCUGACAAACUGCAGUGUGUGUGUGGCUCUGGGGACUUAUAAUUUCAUUCCAGGCUUAUUUGUUGCACCUGUCUGUGUCUCCCUAACUCCAGAAAUUAGAGCUGAAAUCCCCGGCUACAUCUGCUUUGGCCAGAGAAGAGCCUCAGUCAAAGGCCACAUUGCUCCUGCUGAACUUGAGGGAUGCCAACAAUGGUGCCAGGUUUGCCACAUACUGAUAAUGACAGCCCUGCCUGGUGCCCAAAGCAGCCAGAGCACCCGGCCUCCUCUUCCUCUGCAAACCAACAUUUCCCUCGGCUGGGAGAGGUAAGAGCCAUCGGAGCUGGUGGCUGAAAAUCAGAGAAUGAAGUGCUGCACAGCGGGCCUGUGGGCUGGUGUGUGGUGGAGAAGAGGAAGUUCAGAACAUUAGGAAAUGUUUUAGAUACUUUUAAAAUUGUUAAAUGUAGCAUGUAUGCACUUCUUGUUUCCACACUGUCUCAGGUCCUGGCUGAGGUUGGGACAUCUCCCAGCACAUCUCUGCCUGAGCCUCCAGACAUCUGGGUGAGGCACAAGGGCAGCAGACAAAGACCAAAGGACUUUCUGAGCCUCAUGUUCGGAUGGAGGAGGUAACGAAAGGGAAGCUGUGACCUGGCCCUGAAUCAAAUACUUCACAACAGACAGCAUUAGAAAAUAAAAUAAAUUCCAG
rnacentral:lncRNA from 1 species